UACGUAGGGUGCAAGCGUUGUCCGGAAUUAUUGGGCGUAAAGAGCUCGUAGGCGGCUUGUCGCGUCGGCUGUGAAAACCUGGGGCUCAACCCUGGGCCUGCAGCCGAUACGGGCAAGCUAGAAUUCGGUAGGGGAGACUGGAAUUCCUGGUGUAGCGGUGAAAUGCGCAGAUAUCAGGAGGAACACCGGUGGCGAAGGCGGGUCUCUGGGCCGGUACUGACGCUGAGACGCGAAAGCGUGGGGAGCGAACAGG
rnacentral:rRNA from 1 species